rnacentral:rRNA from 1 species
AUUGAACGCUGGCGGCACGCCUAACACAUGCAAGUCGAGCGGCAGCGCGAUAUGUAGCAAUACAUAUUGGCGGCGAGCGGCGGACGGGUGAGGAACACGUAGGAACCUACCCUCGAGUGGGGGAUAACCAAGGGAAACUUUGGCUAAUACCGCAUGAUUUCGAGAGAGCAAAGCUGCCGCAAGGUGGCGCUCGAGGAGGGGCCUGCGUCCGAUUAGCUAGUUGGUGAGGUAAGAGCUCACCAAGGCGAUGAUCGGCAACUGGUCUGAGAGGACGACCAGUCACACUGGGACUAAGACACGGCCCAGACUCCUACGGGAGGCAGCAGUGGGGAAUAUUGGACAAUGGGGGCAACCCUGAUCCAGUGAUGCCGCGUGAGUGAAGAAGGCCUUCGGGUCGUAAAGCUCUUUAGGUUGGGAAGAAGAGUGAUGGAGGAAAUGCUAUCACUUUGACGGUACCGACAGAAUAAGCACCGGCAAACUCUGUGCCAGCCGCCGCCGUAAAAC